rnacentral:rRNA from 1 species
GAAUCCGAGUGAGGCUCUGGGUCCACCUCCCACCCGUGUUUAUUUUACCUUGUUGCUUCGGCGGGCCCGCCUUAACUGGCCCCCGGGGGGCUUACCCCCCCGGGCCCGCCCCCCCCGAAGACACCCUCGAACUCUGUCUGAAGAUUGUAGUCUGAGUGAAAAUAUAAAUUAUUUAAAACUUUCAACAACGGAUCUCUUGGUUCCGGCAUCGAUGAAGAACGCAGCGAAAUGCGAUACGUAAUGUGAAUUGCAAAUUCAGUGAAUCAUCGAGUCUUUGAACGCACAUUGCCCCCCCUGGUAUUCCGGGGGGCAUGCCUGUCCGAGCGUCAUUUCUGCCCUCAAGCACGGCUUGUGUGUUGGGCCCCGUCCUCCGAUCCCGGGGGACGGGCCCGAAAGGCAGCGGCGGCACCGCGUCCGGUCCUCGAGCGUAUGGGGCUUUGUCACCCGCUCUGUAGGCCCGGCCGGCGCUUGCCGAUCAACCCAAAUUUUUAUCCAGGUUGACCUCGGAUCAGGUAGGGAUACCCGCUGAACUUAAGCAUAUCAAUAGGACGGAGGAAC